rnacentral:lncRNA from 1 species
ACCGAAAGAUACCAUUAAAAUGCCACAAGAAGAAUGUUGUUUGGUACUUUUACACAUCAGCUGCUCAUCUUUGCAGGAUUUUCCCCUUCCCAGGGUAAGGCGAGAGAAGAGGAAGUGAAAACAGGAGGGGAGAAUUUUCAUACAACACCUCUCGCCUUGUAGACAACAACCAAAAACCCCCUGGGUUGUGAACAGAGCCUCGUACUUUCUACAGCUCCUCUCCUUCCCUGGAUUACCUCCCUCAGUUCUCAGAGCUCCCCCAGGUGGGUGGCACAAUUCUGAGCUGCCCUCAUUGCUGCUCCCGAGCUCUGGGGCGGGAGGCAAGGGCUGGGACUGCCUAUUGCGGGAGGAGGUAAAUCUUCUGGAGAGGCUCCGGGGCUUUCUGAGCUUCUCUGGGGAGUCUGGGUGGACGCUUCUCCAUACCUGGUGGAGAAAGACCAGAGAGAACCAGGAUCUGAGCUGUCUUCUGGAGGAGCCCUCCAGCCGCGGGCUGCAGCAGAGCUGGGCUCUCCAGCACUGAGUUACCAUCUGCUGCGCUCUCCCAGCCACGGGACUCUCCAGGGUGCUGGGGUUCCCCUACCCCAAAGCUCAGGACCUCUGAGAGCUCCUGAUCGCUGUAUUUGCUGCAGAGAAAGCCGCAGAGCCUCAGCAGGCAUGUCUCAACCUCCCUGGUUGCUUCACUAAAUCUCUGCAACAGCUCGUUCCUACGUCUCUUGUCUCCUAUGUCAGGAGGACCGAGGGCCUGCCUUACCUCCCAGCGGUGCCUCUCUGUCUCCUACCACCCUUUCGGAUCCAGCUCAGACACUGCACUUCCAAAGGCUUCCCUGGUGUCCAGGAAUGUUUGCUUCUCUCUUCUGGCUCGUGGGACCAUGAGCUCCAGGGACCACACGCUCCAGGGACCACGCCUGCGACUCCCGCCGGAGGUGGUCAGUGCAUUUCUCUUCUCUUCCCCCGAGGGCCCAGGUCCCCCUCAUCUCCAAGGGUACCCAUCACAGGGCUCCCUUUUAAACUAUCGGGAAGCACUGAAUGAAUGAACGCACGAAGACCCAUCACCGGCUCCUCCUGCCUUUGCCUACCAUCUUCUUUCUGGAGAAGAGUCAGUUUGUCUGCAUCUGAGAAGAGGUGGGGGAGAGAGCCAGCAAGUCCUCCCCCUUCUGCUCCAGGAUCUAGGAGACAGGGAAUCUCAUCGGGGGAGGGUUAGGGGCCCCCAGCCGGGGUGACUCGGAAUAACAGAGCAGUUUGCUGGUCUGGGCAGAAGGAUGGGGCAGAAAUCCUUACCAACAGGGCCCAGGCACUGGAGGAAUCUGACCGACCUCCAGGCUUUGGGGCUGUGUGUGUGUGUGUGUGUGUGUGUGUGUGUGAUCGGUUUCCAGGUGAGACCAGGAAGGGUCUAUGCAGGCGUAUUCCAGCUUCUGGCUUCCUAGGGCAUAGAGGGGGCUGGAUGAAAGGAGCCAAGAUGCUGGGCAACCUGCAGGGGGCCCCCCAUUCGCCCCAGGACCAUGUUUCUAAGUGGCUAAAGUUCAGGGACAGAGUUGAUUCAACCCCCCUUCAAAUCUCCUACAAGCCCAUACCUACUUCCUUCUCCCCAAUCCAGGGAGGGGGGCCCGGUCCCUAAACAGGUGGAGCCUUAAUGUGAUGCGGCUUCCUUGGUGUUCCCUGGAGUCUUGAAACUGGAUGAACAGGAAGCAUCCUGUUUAAAACGCACAGAAACUAUCUCACAGCCUGUUCAGAAGGAUCCACAGAGGGGAGGGGAGAACCUGCAGUGCCGUGAGGGAGGGCGCAGCCUCGCCCUGGCACCGGACCCACUUCUGAUGCCCAGAGCAGGGCCCACUUGGCUGGGAACCUGUACCGCUGGCCUCCAUCUCUCCUUAGUCAUCUGCACACACCCAGGGCUGUAGGAAGCUCAGCCCAGCCCGGAGGUUGAAUCCGUCUCCAUCUCUUCAUACUGAUGGCAGCCUGGCAUUGUUAUCCUUCACGGAUCAUCUCUUGGAAGGACAUCAGCCUCUUCUUACAUCUCCCAGCCCCCCUGGGGCGCUGCUCAGCUAAUCCAGCAUCUUUGGCUCCUGGAUUCACUUCUGGCCUGGGUGUUCCGAUACCACGUCUGGCACCAGUUGAGUGGGAAGAUGGACAAAAUAACUACGCCUCAUGAGUAGAAAGGAGAAUUAAUUCCCCUGUACAAACUUUUGUGUCUCCUCUUCCUGGGUGACUUCAGAUGUGUUAAUCCAGGACUGUUCGUUUUUUCCUUUUAAGGUCUAAUUUAUAGCAGCACCCUUUUUGCUUUUUAGGGCCACGCCUGCGGCACAUGAAGGUUCCCAGGCCAGGGGUCGAAUCAGAGCUACAGCUGCCGGUCUCCACCACAGCCACAGCAACACCAGAUCCGAGCCGCGUCUGCGACCUACACCACAGCUCACGGCAGCACCGGAUCCUUAACCCACUGAGCAAGGCCAGGGAUCAAACCCAGCACCGUUUUGUUUGGUUUUGUUUUGUUUUUUUUUCAACUGUAUUUCUCAUUAGAAUGUAGUACAUGUGAACUCUAUAGCAUCAAAGAUAUCUUCCUUGUUUCCUAUGAAAAUGAUUUAACUAUAUCAAACCCAGUUUUGCAAAGAGAGGAAUAAAAGAUCACACCUCAUGUAACCGCA